rnacentral:rRNA from 1 species
CCUACGGGGGGCUGCAGUGGGGAAUAUUGCGCAAUGGGCGAAAGGCUGACGCAGCGACGCCGCGUGGGGGAUGAAGCAUUUCGGUGUGUAAACCCCUGUUGCCCGGGACGAACAACUGGUUUCGACCAGUCUGACGGUACCGGGUGAGGAAGCACCGGCUAACUCCGUGCCAGCAGCCGCGGUAAUACGGAGGGUGCGAGCGUUGUCCGGAAUCACUGGGCGUAAAGGGCGCGUAGGCGGUCUGUUAAGCGUGCGGUGAAAGCCUGGGGCUCAACCCCAGGUCUGCCGUGCGAACUGGUGGACUUGAGCACUGUAGAGGCAGGUGGAAUUCCGGGUGUAGCGGUGGAAUGCGUAGAGAUCCGGAAGAACACCGGUGGCGAAGGCGGCCUGCUGGGCAGUAGCUGACGCUGAGGCGCGACAGCGUGGGGAGCAAACAGGAUUAGAUACCCCAGUAGUC